GUGGGUUAGAAGAUCUAGGUUG
rnacentral:miRNA from 1 species